rnacentral:rRNA from 1 species
CCAAACGGAGGAAAAGAAACCAACGGGUAUUGCCUUAGUAGCGGCGAGUGAAGCGGCAAAAGCUCAAAUUUGAAAUCUGGCACUUUCAGUGUCCGAGUUGUAAUUUGAAGAAGGUAUCUUUGGGUCUGGCUCUUGUCUAUGUUUCUUGGAACAGAACGUCACAGAGGGUGAGAAUCCCGUGCGAUGAGAUGUCCCAGACCUAUGUAAAGUUCCUUCGAAGAGUCGAGUUGUUUGGGAAUGCAGCUCUAAGUGGGUGGUAAAUUCCAUCUAAAGCUAAAUAUUGGCGAGAGACCGAUAGCGAACAAGUACAGUGAUGGAAAGAUGAAAAGAACUUUGAAAAGAGAGUGAAAAAGUACGUGAAAUUGUUGAAAGGGAAGGGCUUGAGAUCAGACUUGGUAUUUUGUAUGUUACUCUCUCGGGGGUGGCCUCUACAGUUUACCGGGCCAGCAUCAGUUUGAGCGGUAGGAUAAGUGCAAAGAAAUGUGGCACUGCUUCGGUAGUGUGUUAUAGUCUUUGUCGAUACUGCCAGCUUAGACUGAGGACUGCGGCUUCGGCCUAGGAUGUUGGCAUAAUGAUCUUAAGUCGCCCGUCUUG